AAAGUGUCAGAGUAAUCAGUGCCAUAAGUUUAAGCAUAUCCUUUAGCAACAAGGUGAACCUUGAGACGAGCCACAUUACCAUCGGGAUUCACUUUGACUCUAAAAACCCAUUUGCAUCCAAUAGUUUUCUUAUUCGGGGGCAAUGUACCAAUUCCCAAUUACCAUUAGUAUCUAAAGCUACCAUUUUUUUCUUUCAUUGCAGCAUGCCAGCCAGGAUGGGAUAAUGCUUCAGCAACAGUUUUGGGAAUAGAAAUAGUAUCUAGAGAACUGAUAAAACAACGAG
rnacentral:misc_RNA from 1 species